rnacentral:misc_RNA from 1 species
AAAAAAUAAAUAAAUAAAUAAACCAAAAGUGCUACCUGCCGGCCUGCCCCCUUACUGGCACUGCAGCCUGUUGAGGAGAGGGUAAGGUUAGAUAUACACUUCAACUUGAAUAAAGCACUCUCCUUGGCACUUGAUCAGAAUUUACUUAAUAAUUUUAUUUAAGUUUUGUAUCCAUUAAAUAUUUUAUAAGCAACAAACAUUGAACCUGAUAGAACUAGAAGAUCACCACUUUCAUUGGCAAUGUUCCUUUGUCAGGCAUUGCAUUUGACAUCACCAGGUUGAGUGUUGACCUUCAGCAUCAUCGCCAAUCAUAAUAUCAACCUUGGCUAGGAUUGCCCAAAUCACAUAGAUUGACAUUUUGAGUGUCAAUCUUAACUAUGAGCUGACACCAUUUACCAUAUAUUGGGAAAACUUUUCAAAGUUUCAUCUUUUGGUAUUUUUUUUUUAAUUUAUGCAUAUUUUGAUCAAUAGCUCUUGAAUUUGAUGGAAUGAGUACCUAUCCAUUAUUCUAUUGCAUUUUACAACACAAUAACAACUAAGCCUUAAUCUCAAAC